GUAUUUUAACUGUGCUAAGGUAGCAUAAUCAUUUGUCUUUUGAUUGAGGGCUGGAAUGAAGGGUUGGACGAGGUAUUAGCUUUCUUUAAUUUAAUUUGAGGAAUUUAAUUUUUGAGUUAAAAAGCUUAAAUUUAUUUAUGGGACGAGAAGACCCUAUAGAUCUUUAUAGUUUUAUAUUUUAGUAAUUUGGGGAUUUAUGUAUUUUAAGUAAAUGAACUAUUUUGUUGGGGUGACUGUAGAAUUUUAAUAACUUCUAUUUUGUAUUUUCAUUAAUUAAUGUUUUUGUGAUCCAUAAUUUAUGAUUAGAAGAUUAAGUUACCUUAGGGAUAACAGCGUAAUUUCCUCGGAGAGUUCAUAUUGAUGAGGGAGUUUGCGACCUCGAUGUUGGAUUAAAAUAAGUUAU
rnacentral:rRNA from 1 species